rnacentral:rRNA from 1 species
GACGAACGCUGGCGGCGUGCUUAACACAUGCAAGUCGAGCGGACCCCAACCACUCGCAAGAGUGGGGAAGGGUUAGCGGCGAACGGGUGAGUAACACGUGAGGAACCUGCCUCGGAGACCGGGAUAACCCCCCGAAGGGGAGCUAAUACCGGAUGUCGUCAUCGGAUCGCAUGGUCUGAUGACGAAAUGGAUUCCGCUCCGAGAGGGCCUCGCGGCCUAUCAGCUUGUUGGNGAGGUAACGGCUCACCAAGGCGUCGACGGGUAGCUGGUCUGAGA